GGCAGAGCAGAGGAGGGCUUCCCCCCACUGCCUGGGGGCACAGGGCCGGAGCUGCCAGGAGCAGCGAGAGGAAGGGCUGGAGCAUCCGAGGGCCCAUGCAACAGCUCUCGUCCCUGGCGUGGUGACCCGAAUAUCCAAGAUGGCCACUGCUCUAGUUUUCUUUGCCAGCAAUGGACAGCACUGACCCUGUGUCCAGAUGCUUCCAGGCUCUUUACAAUGUGAAGAUUUAAUCUCGGCAGCAACUCUGACACAGGGAUUUCCCAAGACCUGCGGUCCCCUCUCAUGCCGUGACUGGGAGAAGGGGGGCACUGAGGCGUGUGUCCUCCCACCUCGGCCUGUCUGCUGCCAUCGAUCCUGCUAACCACCACCUCUGCAAAAAGAAGCCCUGGGCUCCCGCCAGACCUGCUGGCUCAGCCCUGCCCCCUCUCCCUAGGGUGGCUUCCAGCCUCUGCAGCCCCCCCACCCGCCCUGCUUCGCAUUCUGCAGAUACAGCUCGGUGCAGCAGCCCCCAUCAGCUGGGACAGGAGGAAGGGAAGGAAAAUUCAGAGUGCAGCUGGGGCUCCCUUUACUGGCAGGGGGUCCUCAGCGUCCAAGGCCCUGACCUCGGGGCCCGAAAACCCCUGUCCUUCCCCCGCCCCCACUCAGCAGAAGCAAGCGCACCGUGGGGGACCGCGGGGGGCACAGCGAGAGUGAGUGUUCAAAGGGGCGAAGGUCGGGGUGAAUGGGUGUCAAAUGCAAGUGGUCUGCUGCAGGAUGAGAGUGGGAAGGACAUCUGUGCAACCCGUGUGCACCUCUGACACUGGAAACCAGGGAAGGAGGGUCCCACCGCGCCAUCCCCACUCUCGGAGGUUCACUGCGGCGGUUCGGGCCCCACCCCGUGCGUCCCCCUUUCUAUUCCUUUCCCCUUCCUUCCCUCUGCAUAGUCGUCUCAGUCCCUCGGUCUGUGUCUCUCUCUCCCCGCAUCUUCCCGUCACUCUCUGAAGCUCUCCGAGUCUCCCACCCAUCCUUCGGGGUCUUUGUGUCCCUGACUAUAGAUCUCCUGCCUGUCUUGUUCUCUUUCUGUCUCUUUCGGAUUCUCUUACUGAACCCCCACCCCGUUUUCUCUCUUCUUCGGCUGUUCCCCCUUUACUCUGAGCCUGCCUGGUCGGGAUUUCAUGGGCAUCAGGGCUGGACUGAGAAGGAUGUGGACGCCCUCCCUUUGCCCAACCCAUGGUCCUCAAAUCUUACCUCUGGCUGCACUCCUCAGUUCCCAAAGCCCAUCUCUUUCCGACUUCCACCACCGCUCCGCUGGACCAGCCACCCGGUUGCCAUAGCAACCUGUCCGCGCACCCUCUCUCCCGGGACUGUCACUCUAAUCGUAGACCCCGCACCGGGACGACCUCGCCAGGGAGCGGUAUCCCAGAGCCCUCAAGGGGCCUCUAAGGUUGCACGACGGAAGGCUCCGCUGGGGAAGGGGCGACACACUCUCCUCACUCCCCUCCUUUUUCAGGACUAGAAUCCCUCCACGCACUCUCUCUUAAGCUCUUAGAUCCGAGAGCCCACCCUCGCCACCCGAGCGCCCACUGCCAGGCGACACGCUCACCA